rnacentral:rRNA from 1 species
GACGAACGCUGGCGGCGUGCUUAACACAUGCAAGUCGAACGGUAAGGCCCUUCGGGGUACACGAGUGGCGAACGGGUGAGUAACACGUGGGUGAUCUGCCCUGCACUUCGGGAUAAGCCUGGGAAACUGGGUCUAAUACCGGAUAGGACCACUGCCUGCAUGGGUGGUGGUGGAAAGCUUUUGCGGGGUGGGAAGGGCCCGCUGCCGAUCAGCUUGUUGGUGGGGUGAUGGCCUACCAAGGCGACGACGGGUAGCCGGCGUGAGAGGGUGACCGGGCGCACUGGGACUGGGAUGCGGCCCAGAAUCCGACGGGAGGCAGCAGUGGGGAAUAUUGCACAAUGGGCGCAAGCCUGAUGCAGCGACGCCGCGUGAGGGAUGACGGCCUUCGGGUUGUAAACCUCUUUCAGCACCGACGAAGCGCAAGUGACGGUAGGUGCAGAAGAAGGACCGGCCAACUACGUGCCAGCCGCCGCCGUAA